rnacentral:lncRNA from 1 species
AUCGUCGGUACCUCGUGGUACCGCACCUCCUCAUUGAAGCGGUACCGUGGGUGGGAGGGUACUUUUAUAAUUUCGCAUGUGGCGUCUGUUGCUUCUUCGCGUUUUCUCGUCUUGUCUGACUCGCGAGAGGUGGAAAUCGUAGGGCUUGUGCAGAUCGAGAGCAGGGCGCUCUGCGAGGUGGUGCUGGAUUCCAUCAUCGGUGAGCAUGGGGUCUCGCUGGUGGCGAAGCAAAGCAUAGCGGCCCGCGUCUCGCAGGUCCUGAAGGCGGAAUCCACCAGCGACCGCGGCGGCCUCGAUGCGACAGGCGGCCGCAGCGGCAUCGAUGCGACAGGCAGCCGCGGCGAGAGACCAUCCUCGAUGCGGCGCCGCCGCGGAGGCCUCGAUGCAACGGCGAUGCGGCAGAUGGAAGAGAGAAGAAGAGGGCGGCACGGAGGAACUUGCUAUUGGUCGAGUGGGCGGUGAUGAGCAGCGG